GAUGAACGCUGACAGAAUGCUUAACACAUGCAAGUCUACUUGAUUCUACUUCGGUAGUUGAUGGUGGCGGACGGGUGAGUAACGCCUAAAGAAUCUGCCCUUUAGUUCGGGAUAACCUUUGGAAACGAAGGAUAGUACCGGAUAUUAUGGAGACGUCGCAUGACGAUUUCAUGAAAGCUAUAUGCGCUAGCGGAGGACUUUGCUUCCCAUUAGUUAGUUGGUGAGGUAAUGGCUCACGAAGACCGCGAUGGGUAGCCGGCCUGAGAGGGUGAUCGGCCAGAAGGGAACUGAGACACGGUCCUUACUCCUACGGGAGGCAGCAGUGGGGAAUAUUGGACAAUGGGCCACAAGCCUGAUCCAGCAAUUCUGUGUGCACGAUGAAGGUCUUCGGAUUGUAAAGUGCUUUCAGUAGGGAAGAAAAAAAUGACGGUACCUACAGAAGAAGCGACGGCUAAAUAUGUGCCAGCAGCCGCCGUAAGAC
rnacentral:rRNA from 1 species